rnacentral:lncRNA from 1 species
CGCCGAGCCGCCCCAGCGUACGGCCAGGAGUGGGGAACCCUAAGCGACCCUUCGCGCCGGCUGUGGCCGCGCCCCCUCCCCGCCGCAGGCCACCGCCGCCAGCCUCCGCCGCCCGGUACCCCGACGUCACUUCCCCGGCAGGCAGAGCGCACGGCGGGCGGGGCUUCGGCCCGGGGUGGGGCCUGGCGGCGCACGCGCAGUCCUGCCGCCCGACGCGGAUGCGCGAUCCCGAGCGGGCCGACGGCGGGCGGAGCUGCGGGCGGGGCGUCGAGAGGCCGCUCCCCCGCCCCCACGCAGGCCCCGCCCCCGCGCGCGGCGCUGAGGGCACGGCGGGGCGCAGGCCGGCUGACGGGCGCGCGGCGGCUGCGGCGGGGGCCGAGGAGCGGGGCCGCUGGGGGCGGGGCGCCGGCCCGGUGGCGUUCCGCGCAGCGGAGGCGCUUGGCUUCUCGCCCGGGGAACGCGGCCUUUGGGGCUGGCGCCUCCCGCGCUGCCCCCGUCCGGCCGUGGCCGCCGCCGCUCGGCCGCCCUCAGGUACGCGGCCCGGCCUCGGCCCCGACCGGCGCGCGCCCCCGAGCCCUGCGUGCGCGCCCCCGAGCCCGCGAGGCCGCGCGUGAGUUUGGGCCGCCGGUUCCCGCGGCUGUCAGGCGCGGAGCGCUUUCGGCUCGUUACCCGGCGUUGGGGCUGCUGGCCGCGCUGGGGCUCCGGUGCCGGGACGCGCGGGCGGGCUGCUGGGCCGGACAGCCGGCGGCGCCCGGGGACGCGGCCUUCGGUGCCCGCCGGGAGUGUGCGCCUUUCCUCGGCGGCGUACCCCAGGACCGGGCGGGGCGAGGGCUCGGGGGCGCCCCCUCGCCGUCCCGGAGCCCCCGCCGCCUGAAGGGACGUGUCCCUCUCCCACCCGGAAGCCCGGGUUUGGAGCGGCGUCCGGCUUCCCGAGGCCGUGGUGGAGACGGUCUGGACUCUGCUGCUUCCAGCAGCCGCCCGGCACCGUCCCUGGUGGGGCAGGUGCAGAGGGAAGUGGCCUCCCCGGAGACCGCCGGCAGCCGGAAUGCACUAGACGCCGUGGCUGUUCCUCAAGCCGCGCUAGUUUGCAGGAAGUCUGAACAGGGUGCUUUGACACAGUCCUCCCACCUGCGGUCUUCUGUAACCGUCCCUCCGGGGACCCCCUCCUAA